rnacentral:rRNA from 1 species
AUUGAACGCUGGCGGCAAGCCUAACACAUGCAAGUCGAACGAGUGGCGGACGGGUGAGUAAUGUCUGGGAAACUGCCUGAUGGAGGGGGAUAAAUACUGGAAACGGGAGCUAAUACCGCAUACUAUCGGAUGUGCCCAGAAGGGAUUGGCUAGUAGGUGGGGUAAAGGCUCACAUAGGCGACGAUCCCUAGCUGGUCUGAGAGGAUGACCAUCCACACUGGAACUGAGACACGGCCCAGCCUCCUCCGGUAGGCAGCAGUGGGGAAUAUUGCACAAUGGGCGAAAGCCUGAUGCAGCCAUGCCGCGUGUAUGAAGCAGGCCUUCGGUUUGUAAAGUACUUUCAGCGGGUAGGCGUUACCCGCAGAAGAAGCCCCGGCUAACUCCGUGCCAGCAGCCGCGGUAAUUC